rnacentral:rRNA from 1 species
UUGACCUCGGAUCAGGUAGGGAUACCCGCUGAACUUAAGCAUAUCAAUAAGCGGAGGAAAAGAAACCAACAGGGAUUGCCUUAGUAACGGCGAGUGAAGCGGCAAUAGCUCAAAUUUGAAAGCUGGCGUCUUCGACGUCCGCGUUGUAAUUUGUAGAGGAUGCUUCGGCGAGGACUCCUGCCUAAGUCCCCUGGAACGGGGCGUCACAGAGGGUGAGAAUCCCGUAUGUGGCGGGCGGUCCGAGCCAUGUGAAGCUCCUUCGACGAGUCGAGUUGUUUGGGAAUGCAGCUCUAAAUGGGAGGUAAAUUUCUUCUAAAGCUAAAUAUUGGCCAGAGACCGAUAGCGCACAAGUAGAGUGAUCGAAAGAUGAAAAGCACUUUGGAAAGAGAGUUAAAAAGUACGUGAAAUUGUUGAAAGGGAAGCGCUUGCAACCAGACUCGCUCGCAGUUGCUCAGCCGGCCUCUUGGCCGGUGUACUCUUCUGUGAUCGGGCCAGCAUCAGUUCGGGCGGCCGGAUAAAGGUGUCGGGAAUGUAGCACCCUUCGGGGUGUGUUAUAGCCCGGCGCGGAAUGCGGCCAGCCUGGACUGAGGAUCUCGCUUCGGCAAGGAUGCUGGCGUAAUGGUUGUAAGCGGCCCGUCU